CCUACGGGGGGCUGCAGUGGGGAAUAUUGGACAAUGGGCGAAAGCCUGAUCCAGCCAUGCCGCGUGUGUGAAGAAGGCCUUCGGGUUGUAAAGCACUUUCAGUGGGGAAGAAAGCCUUGGGGCUAAUACCCUCGAGGAAGGACAUCACCCACAGAAGAAGCACCGGCUAACUCCGUGCCAGCAGCCGCUGUAAUACGGAGGGUGCGAGCGUUAAUCGGAAUUACUGGGCGUAAAGCGCGCGUAGGCGGUCUGAUAAGCCGGUUGUGAAAGCCCCGGGCUCAACCUGGGAACGGCAUCCGGAACUGUCAGGCUAGAGUGCAGGAGAGGAAGGUAGAAUUCCCGGUGUAGCGGUGAAAUGCGUAGAGAUCGGGAGGAAUACCAGUGGCGAAGGCGGCCUUCUGGACUGACACUGACGCUGAGGUGCGAAAGCGUGGGUAGCAAACAGGAUUAGAUACCCGAGUAGUC
rnacentral:rRNA from 1 species